CAAAAUAUGAUAAAUAUGCACAUAUCUUUCCAUAUGCUAGCCCACAGAAACUGUAGAUGUGACCUAAUUUUUUUGUAUAUAUUAAUAAGGAUCUUGAGAUGACGUCAUACUGGAUGAUCCUAGUGCACCCUAAAUCCAAUAAGUGUUCUUAUGAAAGACAGAAGAGGAGACGAUACAGGAAAUAGAAGAAGGCUACUUGAGGAUGGAAGCAGAGAUUGGAGUUAUGCAGCUACAAACCAAAGAAUGCCUUGAGCCACCAGCAGCUGAAAGAGCUAGUCAGCAAUACAAAUGGGAUUUGAUAUCAGAUUCAUACGAUUCCGAAGACCCUGACCACCAAAUGCAAAAGGAUAAGAGGGCAUCUCUUCUUCCAUAUUCAUAAAUACGUUGCCAACAGGAAUUUGUUGUUAUUUACACUUUCUUCUCCUAGACAUUUUAAUUUUACUUACCUUCCCUGAGCACAUGGCAAAGUCAAAACACAAG
rnacentral:lncRNA from 1 species